rnacentral:lncRNA from 1 species
CAGCCAACUAAAAGCCCCUGUUUCGGGCCCCUAAAGGCAGGCCUGUUCCCACGCUCCGCAGAGUUCGCACUCAUCAGAGUUCUUGCACUCACCAGAGUUUGUGUUCGCCAGAGUUCUCACGCUCCCCAGAGUUCCCGCGCUCCCAGAUUUCCCAUGCUUCCCAGAAUUCUUGCGCUCCCCAGAGUUCCCGCGCUUCCCAGAGUUCCUGCGCUCGCCACAGUUCCUGCGCUCACCAGAGUUCUUGCGCUCCCCAGAGUUCGCGCUCCCCAGAGUUCGCACUCACCAGAGUUCUCGCGCUCGCCAGAGUUUGCACUUGCCAGAGUUCUUGCUCUCACCAGAGUUCGCGCUCUCCAGAGUUUUCACGCUCCCCAGAGUUCCCGCGGUCCCCAGAGUUCUYGCGCUCGCUGGAGUUCACGCUUGCCAGAAUUUCCGCGCUCGCCAGAGUUCUCGUGCUCCCCAGAGUUCGCACUCACCAGAGUUCCCGCGCUCCCCAGAUUUCUCGCGCUCCCCAGAGUUCGCACUCACCAAAGUUCACGCUCCCCAGAGUUCUCAUGCUCACCAGAGUUUGCAGUCACCAGGGUUCUCAUGCUUGCCAGAGUUCACAUUCGCCAGAGUUCUCGCGCUUGCCAGAAUACCUGCGCUCCCCAGAGUUCCCGCCCUCCCCAGAGUUCGCACUCACCAGAGUUCCCGCGU